rnacentral:rRNA from 1 species
CUUCCGUAGGUGAACCUGCGGAAGGAUCAUUAUUGAAUUUU